rnacentral:rRNA from 1 species
UACGUAGGGGGCAAGCGUUGUCCGGAUUUAUUGGGCGUAAAGAGCGUGUAGGCGGCCAAACAGGUCCGUUGUGAAAACUGGAGGCUCAACCUCCAGACGUCGACGGAAACCGUGUGGCUAGAGUCCGGAAGAGGAGAGUGGAAUUCCUGGUGUAGCGGUGAAAUGCGCAGAUAUCAGGAAGAACACCAAUGGCGAAGGCAGGUCUCUGGGCCACUACUGACGCUGAGAAGCGAAAGCAUGGGGAGCGAACAGG